rnacentral:rRNA from 1 species
UACGAAGGGGGCUAGCGUUGCUCGGAAUCACUGGGCGUAAAGCGCACGUAGGCGGCUUUCUAAGUCAGGGGUGAAAUCCUGGAGCUCAACUCCAGAACUGCCUUUGAUACUGGAGAGCUUGAAUCCGGGAGAGGUGAGUGGAAUUCCGAGUGUAGAGGUGAAAUUCGUAGAUAUUCGGAAGAACACCAGUGGCGAAGGCGGCUCACUGGACCGGUAUUGACGCUGAGGUGCGAAAGCGUGGGGAGCAAACAGG